rnacentral:sRNA from 1 species
UUCUUUUUCUUCUUCCUCUUCUCCUUCUCCUCUUCCUCCACCUUCUAAACCAAACUCUUUCUUACAAGGGAAAAAACACAAUGCUUGUUUUCUGUAGAGAUUGCCGUGUUGGGAUAACAGAUCUUUGUCAUUGAUCUUCAUUUCAUUAUUUAGGGAGGCAGGGUCUCACUCCGUAGCUUGCUAGCACAGGUUCAAACCCUCAUGACUUAGCCUCCUGGGUGAUAGGCAUGCAACACUGUAUCCAACUGACUUUUUAAAUCAUGUUUUUGAUGGACAAAUUAUCCGUGCUUAUUAUGUGUAGCAUGACGUGUAUGCAUAUGUAUUCAUGGUGGAGUGGCUCUGCAUGACCUCAUAUUUUUGGUAACAUUUAUCUCACAUGUACACAUAAAAUUCUCAAAACUGUAAACAGGGGCUAGGGAUAUAGUUCAAGUGAUAAAGUUUCUGCCAAGUGAGCACAAAGAGCUGGGUUUGACGUUCAGCAGCGCAUAAACCAGGCAGGGUGGCAUGCAGCUCUCUGCAGCCCCAGCACUCUGCAGGUAGAAACAGGAGGCCAGAAACUAAGAAGCCCAUUCUCAGUUUCACAGUGAGUUUAAGGCCAGCCUGAUCUGUGCUAGACACAGUCUCCAAACAAGCAAGCAAACGAACCGGAAGAAAGAAGGGAAAAGGUGUCGGCCAUCACCUUUGUAGGAUGUGGAGGCAUCACGCACCUUCUGUAAAUAGGAAGGUUUACAUUUUCGCUUGAAGAGAUUCUGCCCCUCAUGUGGAUGUAACUCGAUGUAUCCAGUAUUUCCACUCACACAUCUUUGAAAACGAACUGAAAGAACAAGUGUGUCCAUGUUUCAUCAACAGUGUCACAGCUGUGUGCAAGUACAUGCCUGGGUAUAUUUCCAUGCAUGGGAUCAUCACAUAGGAUAGAAAUGAUGAGGACCCGGCCGAUUCUGGAGUCUCACAAGCGCACACGUGCACAGGCACGGCUGAUACCACAGAUGGCUGCUCUGAGGAACCCACAACCCACUGUGGGAACACUUAGGUCUUCUUGGUUAAAUAGGAAGCUACACAUGAGCAGCUUAGGGGAGCCGGCCCAGGCAAACCAGAGAUAGAAUUUGGAAAAUCCCUGGCUGCUUGAUCCCGUGUGCAGCUCAGCAGUUGCUGGGCUUAAGGAUUAAGCUAAGAAAGGAGCCUGUUCCAGGGAAACACCAACAAAGAAUUCUGUUGGUUUGUCUUUAGAAACGGAGAGAAUUUUGGCCUGAAGACAACCAGAAUUCCAGGGAUUCGGGAAAGGACUUUUGCACCUGGAGUUUCAUGCCGCUGACCAACCUUGAAAUCAGGCUGCUAAGUGGGACUUAGUGCCUCGGCGUGUUGCCUAAGUCCUUUUUCCAGCACUCAGGUUAAUGGUUAAGAGUUGGCAUUUAAAGCGUAUGAUAAUUUCCAUUUAGUACUUUAGUUAAUAAUACAUCUUUCUAUGAUGUCUAAAGGAUCUGUCAAAACAAGUAAUGGAAAAACUAGACCAAUGCGUUUAAGAGGUACUUUGUACAAAAUAUCCCCGGCUAUGGCUAUCUAUCCCCAAUAGACAAGAGUCACUAACACACACAACUGGAGCCCGAGUCUCACAGAGCGCUGUAGUCUCUGGUUGCAUUCAGAAGCCUUCUUCCUUUAUAGUUGGAAGGUGGGUAGUUUCUGGUUGGGGUCUGCAGUAGCAUGAGGUAUCCCUCUGAUUUCAGAAUGAACCAUUUGUCUCACUAAACACACAACCUCGCACCUUGGAUCUCAUAGUCUAUUGAAAUCAAGGUCAUCUGGAAAUACACACACCUCCUGUUCUUUUCCUACUUGUAGGCCUAGGUACAGUCACUGACUGACAACUGAGAAGUCAUCUCCAGUCUGGAAUCUAACAAAUUUUCCUUUUCAGCCCCAAACAUGUUGGCUUUUGGUUUUUGCCUUUUGCCUUUUGAUCCCACAAAACUGGGUCAAGUCCUGUUAAGCUACUGUAAAAUUUUACCAACAGAGGAAUUUUUUAGUUGUUGUUUCUCACUGGAAAAGUUCCAUGCCCUAAAACUGUUCCUGAACUUGUGAGUAAGCAUUUUUUUCCCUCACAGAAAAUAGUCUUUGUUCUUCACAAGGAGACUAAGUAACUGUUGCUUAACUCUUCCUUCCUGGGUUCUUCUGGGGGUUGAUUGUUCCUAAAAGGAUUUAUGAGUGAAAAAUUGUAACCCAAUUAAAACAUAUUUUCUAAAAGGUUUCCAAGAAAAAAAAAAACAGGCUAAGAGAGGUAAAGAGAUUGACAUUCAUUCCCGAAAGAUAACAAAGGCAUGAACUUUACUGUGAAUAGUAAUAGAAGCAGGUUAUAGGAGCAAAGAGUUGAGAACUCAGAGGCCUGCUUUGGGAGUCUGUUCACAAGCUUCUAGAACUCACAGUGGAGACUAAAACCUUCCACCCUGCUGUGCUACCAGAGAACCACUGAGCAGCUUUGUGAGUCUUAGUUCCAGAACAUUCUAGAAACUUCCAACAGCAUGUUCUCGUUUCCUGUAACGGGGGUGGGGUGGAGUGCUCUCAGAUACUCUCUUUAAGCAUCAGCUGUGGAGAGCCACAGUAGAAGGACUAUGGAAAAUCCCUUUGUGUGUUCAUGGAGCUAAUGGUGUAGAACAGAAAGGGAUGAGAACAUUCAGGGCCUACAAGCCUAGAGCACUGAUACUGUCCCGGAGUUUGGAGGAGGAAGAGUGGCCCAAGUAAUGACAUCCAAAGGGGAUUUUGAAUACAGUGGGGCUGAAGAGUGCUCUGACGGAAAGUAACCAUAGGUUGCAGAGAAAGCCCUUGUGUGGCAGUGCACCCACAGAAACAUAACAUGAUUUCUUUCUCAACAGUCCACAUCUAGACCCUGGGAAGUUAACUGUGUGCAACUAAAAGAUUCUUUUUAGUUCUCUCUGUCCACUUUUCGAUUUCUUGUGCUUUUAGAUUCUAUGAGGAGGUGAAACCAUGCACGUGCCCCGAAGUAUAUCCAAGGCUUCUUAUAAACAUAAAACAUAAGCCAAUAUUUAGAAUAGAAAACCAAACUAUUAAAUGCUGGUUUGGACCUCUCUUUUCUCUUAGAAAGUACCAAAGGCAUGGCCUGUUCUUUGGAUAAUAAUUUCCUGACGUUUUUAUGUACUUAAGAGUUACCCAGGGCAGGGCUGGGGAUGCAGUUCAGUUGGGAGUGUUUCCUCUGGGUAGGCAAACAUCUGAGCUUGAUCAACACUAUAGAAACUGGAAAUGGUGGCAUACUCCCGUUAUCCCAGCAUUCCUUGGGAGGUAAGAGACACGAGGAUCAGAAGUUCAAGAUCAACUUUGGCUACAAAGUGACUCGAGGUCACCCUGGGCUACACGAAACAGCAGAACAAAAACAACACAACAGACCUCCCCAGACCUCAAAGUCAACCUGAAAGAGUCACCCAGGGAGUCUGCCAAAAGCAGCCACCAUCUGCAGCUCCCCUGUCCACCACCUGUCCUUGCUUUGAGUCAGGAAAGUUGAGCAGGAGCCAGGGAUGUGAAUGUUUAGUCUGAGUUCCUCUCGGUAAUCUGAAUGCUUCGGUUCUGUCAGGUGGUUUCUGUGGGUCCGUCACAGGUGACAGUUCAGGAAUACCAAAGCAGCAAGUAAAUCCUGACUCUUAGUCCCUGUCAAGCUGAGGACUUGCAGAGACUUUGAGGGCAAUUUCAAGUCAAUCUCUUAGGAAUGUUUCAGCUUAGAAACAAAUCCUGGGUCUGUUUGAUCCAGUCACAGGCCCGUAGAGCCAGAGCAAACAACAGGCUGGGGUUACCUGGUUGUAUUUGAAUUUCUAAAAUAUUUCUGUUUCUAGAGUGAGGGCUUUCCAGAGGCAAGGCUUACGAGGUGGUGUCUAUGGUAGAAACAAGACAAUUUCCAAGGCGGGCGCGUACGAGCUUAUGUGUAUGAGAACUGUCAAGGAGUCUGGUCACAGACUCUGCUGUGUAAGUGCUAACACCAACCUUCACUUGCUGGUAGAGCUUGUCUGUGCCUAACCUAAGUCACACCAUUUCUUAUGUCUCUUGUUCCUUUGGGUGUUCUGUCCAGAGUGAAAGCAACACCCAUUUGCCACUGGACAAUCAACAAACGGAGAAAAAAAUCUUCUGCACCACAGACACUGAUGUGAUAAAACCUGUCAGGUUUGUCCUGAGAGCUUCAAGUGUUGCAAAUAUUAUUUUCAAUCUCUUUGUUAGAGUAGUGGUUCUCAACCUCUGGGUUGUGACCCUUUGGGUGGGGUCGAACUACCUUACACAGGUGUUGCCUCAGACCAUUGGAAAAGCAGAUUUUUAUGUUACUAUUCAUAACGGUAGCAAACUUAAUUCCAAAGUAAUAACAAAAAUAAUCACCCCAUCCUGGAACUGUAUUAAAGGAUCACAAGGUUAGGAAGGUGGAAAUCUACUAUUUUAGAGGGAGGGCUUUGACACAUCCCUGCUCUGGCUACCUGCAGUAAUGUCCGAGUGACAGAGUGUGGUGGGGUAUGUCCUAGGCACUCUGCUUGGGUUCAGGCCGUCCAUCCUACUUUGUUCUGUCUCUGAACCACUCUCUUCUCUUUCUAGCCAGAUGACUUGUGUAAAAUGCAAAACUAUUGAUUCCUGUAGCAGUCCACACUGGCCUUCUCUUGCCUUCCAUACAAAAUUAAAAUGUUUUGAAGUUGAAGAAGAGAAAAGAUAGGCAAGUCCUCCCCUGUAGGCUCUUCUAUCCCAGUUUGUCAGAGUCACCUCAUGGUAACAAUGUACCACCGGUUUAGAAACAUUUGUAUCUACCUCUCUGGAGGGAAUAUUUUGAGGUCAAGGAGGUCGUCUCCUAUUCGUUUUGAUAUCUAGUGUUUCUGUUAGAUGUGUAUAUAAGGAACAUGCAUUCUAUAUUUCAAAUACAUUCUCUCUAUGUUACCCAGGUGCUUCUGUUCUCGGCCACUGAGUUCUAGGACUGUAAACAUGAUUCACCCAUUGCUUCUGACUUUAUUUAUUAAAAAAGUAGAAUGUGUGUAAGAAAAAAUUGUUGGACAUGCUUAUCUUAAAGACUGUAUCUCGCAUACUCUGUUUGAAACGACACCAUUUUGCUGUAUUGGCUCUUGCUUUAUUAGAAGAUAUUUGAGGUUAAGGCCUCCUUCUAAUCAGACCCUAGCGGCCUUCACAAAUCUGAGUUCAUUAAACCCUGAUGCAGGAAAUGGUGUCUGGCUCCAGGGCUCCAAGCCUAUACAGUACUGACAGCUGCCCUGAGAUCGCUUACAGCAGAUGACCCACAUAGAUAACUGGGCUCUGAAUACACUCAGUUCUAACCACCAGGAAAAUGCAGCAUCCCCCAAGCCACAAGCUAACCCAUAGGUCCUGAGGAUGCCCAGGGAGAGCCAGCCUGGUCACUUCUAAGGGAAGUAGCAUUUCAAGUCUUCUUUGUCUCUGCAUGAAAGUGACUGGCAUUGGUUGCAAAGGACCCAGGAAAGACUACGCGUUUCAGGGGUCACCCUCGGAGUUCUAGGACCAGAUGGCCAGAUGAAAACCGCAGUUCUACACCCACCAAACCGAGAUUCACCUGAACUUCAUAUUAUCUUCUCUGCUGUUUAUUAGUAUCAUGAGCCAGUCACUGUCACCUACCCUGUGAGAGUGUCGAGGGCAUUCUCAUUAACCUGUGAAAUGCUGACCUCCACCGCUGGGCUCAGUAUGUCUUAACCACUGCAAUUACACUCUUAAUUUUCUAUUUUAUUUUUCCAUUUAUAUUUUAUGUUUUUUAUCCUGAAGCAGUUUAGUGGAGAAAGUUUUAUUUGGGUUCACAGUUUGAGGGUACAAUGUUGCAGGUAUGAUGGCAAGAAUGGCUGUAGUUGUAGUCGGGAAGCAGAGUGAGAGGAAUGCUGGACCUCAGUUCCAGGUUUUGUUUGUUUGUUUUUUUUUUAAUGUCACCCUGGGACUGAAGUCCAUGAGAUGCUGAUGCUGAUGCUGAUAUUCAGGCUACAUCUUUCCUCCUCAGGUAAAUAUCUCUGGAAGCACCAUCAUAAUUAUACCCAAAGUUACGUCUAUUGGAUGACCUAAAUCCUGACUAGGUUGACAAUGAAGAUUAACUCUGUGUGUGUGCGCGUGUGCAUGUGAGUGCGUGUGUGUGUGUGUGUGUGUGUGUGUGUGUGUGUGUAAAGAAACUUUUCAAAUGCUUUCUAGUAAUGUGAAAUGUAAAUUGUAAUUUCUCCUUUGACUUAAACAUACUCAGUAUUAUAAGUAAAAGUAUUAGGACAACUUUGCACUUCUCGACUAAUACCACUGGCUGGGUCGUUUUGCUCUUUGAAUAUCCUGAGAUUUUUAAUUCUUUUAUUUCAUUCUGCUGAUGGUUUACCCAGAACAUUUUCAUGUAUGAGGUUGAGUUACAAUAUUUUUCUACAUUAUCUUCCUUGGUCUCAGAAGUAGUUUUUGAUCCCUUGUAAAUCAUAAAAGCAGCCACUAAAAACCCAGAUUUUAUAUUUCCUAUGUAGGUGAACCAUUUAAUUCUCCAAAACAACUGUCGCUAAAAUCUAUGGGCAAAAUAUCACUUGUGACAACUCUGAGACAAGGAUUUUCCUAAAGGGUAUUUAACAGUGGCUUCUUUUGUUUCUUCCUGCCUUGUUUAGAUUUUCUCUCUAAAUUUUUGUCUUCUAUUUUAUUCUAUCUUUAAAAAAUCAUAAUUUUUCAUGUUUCCAAAUUCAGUAUCAUGGAGUAUGCAGAAUUUUUGCUAACACCCAUGUGAGUCACUGGGACCACAUUCUUGUUUUAUAUAUUUUUUGUUUUUCUUUGACCAGGAGAGCUAGCUUUCUUCUGCUUACACAUAUUUUCCAAACAUAUAUCCACUGUAUCUGUAAAUGUAUAGUUUCUCCAUUUCCUUUUGCAUUGAGUCUCUAUGUUUUUAACACCCUCCCUUUUGAUUUUAAAAAAGUAUCCCAAGUUGAUUGUUCACAGUAUAUAUUUUUUUUCUUGAUUUUAUUAAGAACCCGCACAUAUACCAUCAUUUCCAACAUCUCUCUGUACAUCCCAGGCUGGCCUCAAAUUUGCAAUAAUCUUUUUGUUCGAUGAGUGCUGGGAUUACAGGUAUGAGUCACCACCCCCAGCCUUGCCAUACAUUUUCUUAGUGAGAUGCCAGUAAGUACAACAGGUAAGUAUUUCUGUAGAAUACACCUUGCUUGUUUGUGCUACAUUCAGAUGUGGGAAUUGAACCCAGAACCUCAUGUAUGGUAGACUGGUGCUCUACCACUGCUCUAUGGGCCCAGCCCAUAGGAAAUAGUUAAACGUAGCUAGUAUAGUCUUACUGCCACUUUUCUCAUCUAUAUUCUUGAAAUGUCUUGCCAUAGUGACCUUGAGUGUCUCCUUAAACUGAGAAUUAUUUAGGAGAAAAAUUUAAAAUAUGUUGGUAGUCUUUUCCUUGUUCCUUCUGACUCCGGGGCACUCUCAAUAGGUCUGCUUCUUCAAUCCCACCAGUGAAUUCAGUUUGCAGAAUUUCCUCGCUUGCCCUGAUCAUUCUGAUGAAUCUUUAUAAAUUUUCUUUGAGAGCCCAGGAACACUUGUGUUUGUAUAUGGGAGACAGGCACAGUGAUGUUAGAUGAUGCUUUGCCAGCGAGGUCCUCCGAGCCAGAGCACCUUUAACCGUGUGCCUCAGUUUCUCCCAGGUCAGUGGUGCGAUAAGCGUAGAAAUUGAUGUAACAGUUUACGCGCUCAGCACAACCCGAGAGGGCAGCUUUCUACUGAGUGAGUCUGAAACAAACUACUUGGCUACACGUUUCGUGUCAUGUAGCGUUAUUCUUUGCCCUGAAAAGAAAUUAGCAGAUUUAUCCCAGACAUUUUUGUGCUUUAGAAGAACACUUUAAAUAUUUUAUUAUUGGCGCUCUGGAAGUUAACCGUGCCAAAAGUCUUUAUUUUUAGCCUUUUUAAUGACCAGACUAGAAAAGCCAUUUCCGCUCAAAGUAACCUGAGACUUUCCCAGUACUUGUAAGCACAGUUGGCUUCCAUUAGAAUUGUAUUGGGGUUUCUUGGAGUUGGGGGGGGGGUCAUUGUAACACUCAAGCUACAUCUAGCUCCGGAAUGAGUUAUCUGGCAGACCUUGGAAUCCAAUCAACCUGAUUGGCUGAGUAGUUGUGGAUGGCAGGCGUACAGCGUGUCCUUUGCUCUUGUGCUACAUGGCUCCAAAAAUACAUCUUGUGUGGAGCUGUCCCGCAGUCUGUGAUGGCUCUCACAUUGUAGACUGCUUUGCGAAAUACUUGCUACCCAUUCGCUCCUGAAAUCUCCGCCUCCUCUUUUUUUUUUUUUUUUGUUUUUGUUUUUUGCAUAUCGUCUGAAUUCACAAAAUGGGUCAUUUGUACACACAGCAUGCCCAACUUUUGUUUCCUCUGACACAGAAGUUUUACUUCUGCGGACCUAUGCGGAAACAGAAUCCCGUACUCGAAGCACAGCGUCAUAUGCAAAUGCGAUUAUAGCGGUUUUAACAAGACAAAAAAAAAAAAAAAAAAAAAAAAAAAAAA